rnacentral:lncRNA from 1 species
UGGCAUACGUGAGGGAAUGAGCGGCGGCGGGUAAAGGAGUGAGGAUGGGAUCAGCUGCAGGCAAGUGCACUGGUGUGUGUGUGUGUGUGUGUGUGUUUGUUUCCUGCGGCCCCGUGGCCCCAGCCGCGUAUCGCGGCACGGAUUGUUACUUCCAUACCUGAACGUUGGAUGGUAAAGCCGCUGAGGCCAUGACACAUGCACUGACCAACUCAUUCGUAGUCCUGUGGUUGGACAUGUAGAAACGGGUCCACGAAGGUAACCACUGCCGGCAACGCCACCACCUCGGGGGGCACACACACGCACACUCACCCCACCCAACCAACCAAACACCCAUCCACCCAUCCCCAAUGCCCUACUCCACGUGUACCAAACGUACCAGCGCUGCCUUCCCCCCGCCGGCCUCCCCUCCUACCCCGGCCUCCACGCCUGAACACCCCAACCCCAGACCUCGCAGCGGUCUGCAUCUCCCGCGACGGCCUGCAUCAUCCACGCCUGCUUCCCAUCCCCCCACGCGCCGCCGCCCCUCACCUCUGCGGCCUCUCGAAGCCCUGUCCUGCAGCAGCGCUCGUCGGCGGGGCCGUGGGGCUGGGGCGUGUGCAGCGCCAGAGCCGCAGGUGAUGGGGUGCGCAGGUGCAGGUGUUGAGGAGGGCGGGAAGGCGCCGGCCGCCAGCGAAACUGGAUAUGCCAGUGCGUCAGCGGCGCAGGCGAACCUAGUGGCAGGUACGGGCGGCGCGGGCUGAGGAGGUGCAGGGGAAGAGCAGGAGCACAAGAAGGGCAUACGUGAGGGAAUGAGCGGCGGCGGGUAAAGGAGUGAGGAUGGGAUCACACACCCACACACGCACACCCAUCCACACACACACACACACAACCACACACACACACACACGUACGUCAGACGUACCAGCGCUGCCUUCCCCCCGCCGGCCUCCCCUCCUCCCCCGGCCUCCACGCCUGAACACCCCAACCCCAGACCUCGCAGCGGUCUGCAUCUCCCACGACGGCCUGCAUCCUCCGCGCCUGCUUCCCAUCCCCCCACGCGCCGCCGCCCCUCACCUCUGCGGCCUCUCGAAGCCCUGUCCUGCAGCAGCGCUCGUCGGCGGGGCCGUGGGGCUGGGGCGUGUGCAGCGCCAGAGCCGCCGGUGAUGGGGUGCGCAGGUGCAGGUGUUGAGGAGGGCGGGAAGGCGCCGGCCGCCAGUGAAACUGGAUACGCCAGUGCGUCAGCGGCGCAGGCGAACCUAGUGGCAGGUACGGGCGGCGCGGGCUGAGGAGGUGCAGGGGAAGAGCAGGAGCACAAGAAUGGCAUACGUGAGGGAAUGAGCGGCGGCGGGUAAAGGAGUGAGGAUGGGAUCAGCUGCAGGCAAGUGCACUGGUGUGUGUGUGUGUGUGUGUUUGUUUCCUGCGGCCCCGUGGCCCCAGCCGCGUAUCGCGGCACGGAUUGUUACUUCCAUACCUGAACGUUGGAUGGUGAAGCCGCUGAGGCCAUGACACAUGCACUGACCAACUCAUUCGUAGUCCUGUGGUUGGACAUGUAGAAACGGGUCCACGAAGGUAACCACUGCCGGCAACGCCACCACCUCGGGCGGCACACACACGCACACUCACCCCACCCAACCAACCAAACACCCAUCCACCCAUCCCCAAUGCCCUACUCCACGUGUACCAAACGUACCAGCGCUGCCUUCCCCCCGCCGGCCUCCCCUCCUACCCCGGCCUCCACGCCUGAACACCCCAACCCCAGACCUCGCAGCGGUCUGCAUCUCCC